GGCUCUAAGCGGCUCCUCCUCUCACUCCCCUUCUCUCACGUCAAGAGGAGCCGUUUUGCUAAAUGAUUUGUUAAAAAAACACCGGCUCCUAUAAAGGAGCUGUUCUUGAAGAGAAGUCAGAGCCGGAGUUAUUUUUAGAGGAACCGGAGUCAUGCCAAACGGGACCUUAAUUUAUAUUAAUAGCCGCAUGUGAUGUACUGUGAUUAAUUACGUGAACGUAUGCUUUAUUUGCUCUCCUACGUAGGCAGUUGCAGCAUUGUUUGUUCUCUUCCUUUCAUGGUUCCUUUUCUUAGCAUGCUAAACCCCAAUCAAAUUAUCUUUUCAUGCCAAGAAAAGAAGAAAAAACACUCUUUGGAGGAUCCACAUGCAUGGAGGGCCAUUUCUUUGGUGUAGUCGCUUUGCUGCGUCCAACUGGGUAUCUUUCUCCAAUUUCAACGUUUUGUCAACGGUGCACAUGAGCUAAUAAUAAUGACAACAACAACAACAACAACAUUAUUAUUAUUAUUAAUAAGAGUUCCUCCUUCGUUGGUCAUCUGAUUGAUGAUCUCGAGCACAACGUUGUAGGUCUGCCUAAGUUUGCAUAAUGCAUCCAUUAACGUUCUAUAAUGCUGAGGUCACUAGUGUCAGAAAUUUAUAUAUUUUUAGUUUAAUUUAAUACAGAAAAACAGUGUGAUAUAUGCGAUGGCAUGUAUGUGCAUGUGUGUAUAACUACUCGCAUAAGCUAUAAACAGUAAUGAAACAUGCACAAAUACGAAGAAUAGUGUGUACCCUGCGGAGGGAC
rnacentral:lncRNA from 7 species